rnacentral:rRNA from 1 species
CACGCUGUAAACGAUGUGUGCUGGAUGUUGGGCGGCCUAGCCGUUCAGUGUCGUAGCUAACGCGAUAAGCACACCGCCUGGGGAGNCAACGCGCAGAACCUUACCAGGGCUUGACAUGGGGAGGACCGGUUCAGAGAUGGACCUUUCCGCAAGGACCUCCCGCACAGGUGC